CCUACGGGAGGCUGCAGUGAGGAAUAUUGGUCAAUGGGCGGAAGCCUGAACCAGCCAAGUAGCGUGCGGGAUGAAGGCCCUACGGGUCGUAAACCGCUUUUGCACGGGGAUAACACCCUCCACUUGUGGAGGUCUGCAGGUACCGUACGAAUAAGGGCCGGCUAAUUCCGUGCCAGCAGCCGCGGUAAUACGGAAGGCCCGAGCGUUAUCCGGAUUCAUUGGGCUUAAAGGGAGCGUAGGCGGGCGUUCAAGUCAGCUGAAAAAUCGCGCGGCCAAACCGCGCCCCGCCGGUGAAACGGGACGCCUUGAGUUGACAACAGGCAGGCGGAAGUCGUGGUGUAGCGGUGAAAUG
rnacentral:rRNA from 1 species